rnacentral:rRNA from 1 species
GGCGAACGCUGGCGGCGUGCUUAACACAUGCAAGUCGAACGGAAAGGCCCUGCUUUUGUGGGGUGCUCGAGUGGCGAACGGGUGAGUAACACGUGAGUAACCUGCCCUUGACUUUGGGAUAACUUCAGGAAACUGGGGCUAAUACCGGAUAGGAGCUCCUGCUGCAUGGUGGGGGUUGGAAAGUUUCGGCGGUUGGGGAUGGACUCGCGGCUUAUCAGCUUGUUGGUGGGGUAGUGGCUUACCAAGGCUUUGACGGGUAGCCGGCCUGAGAGGGUGACCGGCCACAUUGGGACUGAGAUACGGCCCAGACUCCUACGGGAGGCAGAAGUGGGGAAUAUUGCACAAUGGGCGGAAGCCUGAUGCAGCAACGCCGCGUGCGGGAUGACGGCCUUCGGGUUGUAAACCGCUUUCGCCUGUGACGAAGCGUGAGUGACGGUAAUGGGUAAAGAAGCACCGGCUAACUACGUG